rnacentral:pre_miRNA from 1 species
AUACGAUGAUGAUGAUAAUGAUGAUGAUGAUGAUGAUGAAACCGCCAACUGCUGACUAUGGUUGCUUGUUUUGCUUAAGACUCAUACUGACUGACGGGCUGACACUGACAAUGGAGUUUUCCUCGUAAAAUGGCAUACAAACUAUUCAGAAGAAGAAAUAACAACAUCUCUCAACAUUAAUCGUCAGCGUCAUCAUCAUCGUCAUCAUCACCGUUACCAUCACCA